UGUAAAGGUAAAGUACAUACUACAUGUUUGAUGUUUUGCAUUUUGCAACAGAAACAGCUUCUUAUGAAGUAUUAUUUCACAGGCUACUUUUUUUCAUGUAAUGUAUUAAAAUGUAAUUAUAAUUACGAUUGGGAUAAUGCAAAAAUAUACUUUUUGGUUAGUGAUAUAUCUAUUAUAUUGUGACAGAAUUUGGUUUCUAAUAAUUCUCAUCGUGAGUGCCAAAAUGAUCAAUUGCAUCCUAAUGGAACGUUCAAGAUGUGAUUCAGUAACUGAUACGGUAGUUGCAAUCAUUAUUUUUGACCAAGUAAGUGAACAAUUCACCAUGAAAUGGUAUUUUUGCUUUUGCUCUAAAUCAGUAUGGGCUGGGACACACAGAGAACAAUCUGCGGGAAGCGGUCAGAGUGGCCUUCAUCUAUAUUUUAGAUAUUCAUAUCUAUAACCUGCUAAAACCUCUCUGAUUCCUGUCCGCAGAUCGCUGUGUGUGUGUCCAAGCCACAAAGUUUUACCUUAUUUUUUAUAAAUACUGUGCGCCACCCACUUGGAAAACGUUUUACAUGUGACAUUUUUCUACUGUUUCGAUUUGGAUGCUAUCAAAAACAACUUGAAUAUGGCAAUUUUAAAAAAUCUGAGAAAUCAAAUAUAUAAUGAGACAGGCAAUACUUUCUUAAUCACUUUAUACUUGUUUUCAUCCCUCUGGAAACGCUGCUGCAUUGUGGUCGUCAGGCUAGUUUCACACUCAUUCGGUUCGUUUCGUUUUCGGCAAAUUCAGAUAAGUGUGAAACGGUAAUUCGGUUUGAAUUCGGUACCGAAUAGAAACCGCAUAGAACCAAACGCCCACUUGACUCUAAUAAAUUCCAUCAGGUUUCAAUUCGUUGCUAGCGAGAGGCUACUUUCACACACUUUCGGUUCGGUUCGUUUUGUUUUUGGCAAAUUCCGAUAAGUGUGAAACGAUGAUUCGGUUUGAAUUCGGUACCGAAUAGUAACCGCAUAGCACCGAACGCCCCCUCGACACGAAUAGGUUUUAUCAUAUUCGAAUUUGUUGCUAGGGAAACAGGAAAAAACAAAGUCUGCACACGCUGGCCGUUUUUGUUUUUGUUUUUAUUUUAACCUGAUAUCGUGAUUAUCUGUUUCAAAAUUUUCCAAGUCAAAAUCAUAUGGUCAAUUCAAUUCUGUUAGUUCACAGGAACAUUUUUUCUCAAUGAAUAGUUUGCCAAAAAAAUAUAAAAGAUAUAAAUUAAAACCCAGGGAGAAUUUUUUUUCACGAAUAUUACAUGAUUUCAUCAAUGGAGAGAAGAGAUGAAGUUUAUAUACCAUGUGUCAAAACAAGGAACAAAUUUUCAAUUUAAAAAAAUAAUCUCUCUAAACAUCCAAAAUUAACAUAAUCAAAAAGAAACUAUUCAAAUAAUUCACAAUUUUUAAUUAACUUUUAGGGUCGGUUUCCGAGCUCGGGAUUUAGCUGAGUUCUAGACUUUAACUGGCUUUAAACUCUGGAGUCAGAAAAUUGGCUUUCCGAGUCAGAGCAUUGACGUAGUCGAGGACUUAAAUAAACUCUGGAGUUUAUAAUUUCGCUUUCUGAGUGAAGGGCUUUUAAGUCCAGGACUUGAGCAACUAUCUUGAAUAAUGAAUCCUCAAAGUUUCAUGAAUUUAUUUGCUCCCAAUUCAGCAAUGGAUCGGAUCUCUCCCAAGAUUUAAACUAUUUAUAGCAAAAAGUAAAAAUUAUGAAUUGAGUUUUCCCUUGUGAUGUGCUUCAUUUAGUGAGACCGAUGGUAUAAAAAUCGGAAUAGCCUUAUUUGAAAAAUGUUACCAUCAAAAGUUUUGAAAAGCUUUUGAUGCACAACCUUAAGUUAUCAUUCUUAUCAAACAUACACCUGCCACUCCCACUAAACUGUUGACGUCUUGUUCAGGUGACACCACUAAAUAUAUUUAUGAAUACCGACUAGCAUAAUCUAACUUAUUGCCUAAGCACAAAGCAUUUGUCAGGUAAAAAACAUCACAUUCAUAUUAGGUGUACUUCGUCUACUUGGGCCUACGUUUAUUUAUUAUGAUUUUGUACCAAUUUUCACUUAUAUAAGACUAAAACUACCAUAAUUUUAUCUUUGAUAGAUUAACAAUAACAAUUUUAACACGUCUAGCUAUUAUGCUUAUCAACUCAUAAAAUAUUUUGUAGGCAACAUCAGAAUAAUUUAAUAUUUCAUUUUCUCAAGUUUAAUAUUGAUAUUUCAUGUUUUUUAAGAGCAUUCUAAAAGAUAUAUAUAGAGAAGUUGAUGUUUUUUCUAGCUCAAAAAUGUAAACUUGAAUCGUGAAAUGUGAAGAAUAUCAAAUCAAAUCAAAUUUUUAUUCUCACAAUUUACAAAUAAUACAGUACAGUUACAGUACAUUUAUAUAUACCCUUACGUUAUGAGAGACUCACAUGUAGGCAAAAGCCUGUGUUUGUGAGGGCCUGGCGUAAUUCGCUGAAUUUAAAAUCGAUAAACUAAAUUAUGAAAAUUUGAUAUUAUAUUAAACUAAAUUGAGAAAAAUACAGAUUGAAAAAAAAGAUAUGAGUAAAUGUUGAUAUUAUAGGCAGAAAAACAAAUAAUUGGCUGCAGAAACAGCCAGUUAUAAUUAAUGACUAAAAGUUAGUAAAACUAAAAGGUAGAUACACUAUAGCAAUGCAAUUAAAUACUAAGUUAUAAAGAAUUUUCCAAACUUAGAAUGAAAGAUGGUGAUGACGAUGGACAAUCCAAUCAAGAACAUGUAAUACUAUAACAGUGGACUACACUGGCUACAAAAAAAAAUAAUAAUAAGCACUAUGGGACUUGGAUUUCGAAGGACCACAGACAAGAUCACCAAGUUCCACAUUCCCUACCUAUAUACAGAGAGCAGCACGCGUUCAGACUCCUCCUGGUCACUUACAAUUAACCACCUCUCAACAAGUCGCUUAUACUGGCCUGAUCUGUAAUUUUGAAAAGUUUUAAGAUAGUCAGGUAUGUUUCUAAGUAUUAUGUGUGACAGGUACUGAAUAUUAGUUGUUGAAUAUGUUUUAUUUAAUCUUGGAGUCUGUAUAUUGUUUAUAUGUGAUGCUCUGGUGGGGUAUCUAUGAUCUAUUGUAUUGUUGAAAAUUUCGUUAUGGUGAGAGUGCAUGUAAAUCAAGGCAGAUCUCACAAAUAGCUGCCUUACAUUAAACACUUUAAAGUCCUCAUAUAAUUCCUUAGUGGAACAUCUGGGACCUCUCUGCAAUGCGACCCUCAAGAUAGAAUUUUGAGAAACUUUUAAAGGCUCAAGAACAGUUUUAUAGCAUCCCCCCCACGCAAUUAUUCCCCACUGUAACAUUGAUUGUACAUAUGCAAAAUAUACAUUCCUAAGCUCCUGUACAUUAAGUAUAUUCUUAAGCCCAUGAAACAGAAAUAUUGCUUUACGAAUUUUGCUUUUAAUGUAUGAAAUGUGAGAGGACCAAUUCAUUCUGUCAUCAAAUAUUACCCCAAGAUAUUUAUAUGUGCCUACUUUUUCAAUAGAUGGACAG